rnacentral:lncRNA from 1 species
UGAACCCGACGACAUGUUCUUUCGUUUACCCAUUUAUCCAUGGAGGCCACAAAGAGGAUAGUUCCGAUUCUGUUCCUAGUUUUUUCAAUGGGGGCAAAACUUGGUCAGGGGAAUGCUGUAACAUCUGUUAGAGUGAAAAAGUUCCUCAAGACCUGUAAGAUAGAUCGACCUGCAGAAGGAAUAUACAACCGAAAUGAUUCUUUACCUGUGCUUGAGCUUCGUGGUAUUGUCGCUUAACUAGCAUGCUUCCCCAAUCUCUGCCGACGCGGAAGUCACUGUUGUGUUGCAAUUAACACGCUGUGGACAUCUAAUCCUAGCAAUGAAGGAAGACCUGAUAUUUCCC